UUGAGGGUCACAGCCUGUGACGCGGGUUAAGUCCAGCCACCUGCCCUCAAUAAGCCAGUUAAAGAGCCACAUGGAAGUGGAAAGCAGAAAAAAGAUUUACUCCAUGUGGCCACACUGGGAAGAGAGACAAAGAGUCCAAGGAAUCCCCCAAGUUGAUUUUCGUGCUUCUGAAGUAAGAUUAGGGUUAAAAUAGAUCAAGGAUUUGCACAUCGAAGCAACCCUGGUCAAGUCCCAGGCUUAAGGUUGGCAGAUAAACCAGCCCCUAAACAGACUAGCUGAUCCCCAAUUCUAUGUGUCCUGCAAUACAGUUCCUCAUUGGGCUGUGACGGUUCUCUACAAGGUCUACUGGAUAGUGGAAACUCAUCUUAUUUGCACAAAGCAUCUUAUUUGCAUAAGGUAAAUGAAGGGUCUAGAGAAGACAGACCACACUCUGGUGUGCCUUCUUCAAUCCCCUGCACCAGCUGCUACCCAGAAGCCUGUUUCCUGUUAGUUCGAAGCCCUCUGCCUCUGCUA